rnacentral:rRNA from 1 species
CCUACGGGCGGCAGCAGUAGGGAAUCUUCCACAAUGGACGAAAGUCUGAUGGAGCAACGCCGCGUGAGUGAAGAAGGGUUUCGGCUCGUAAAGCUCUGUUGGUAGUGAAGAAAGAUAGAGGUAGUAACUGGCCUUGAUUUGACGGUAAUUACUUAGAAAGUCACGGCUAACUAAGUGCCAGCAGCCGCGGUAAUACGUAGGUGGCAAGCGUUGUCCGGAUUGAUUGGGCGUAAAGCGAGUGCAGGCGGUUCAAUAAGUCUGAUGUGAAAGCCUUCGGCUCAACCGGAGAAUUGCAUCAGAAACUGUUGAACUGGAGUGCAGAAGAGGAGAGUGGAACUCCAUGUGUAGCGGUGGAAUGCGUAGAUAUAUGGAAGAACACCAGUGGCGAAGGCGGCUCUCUGGUCUGCAACUGACGCUGAGGCUCGAAAGCAUGGGUAGCGAACAGGAUUAGAUACCCUGGUAGUC